rnacentral:rRNA from 1 species
ACAGGGGGUGCUUGCACCCCGCUGACGAGCGGCGGACGGGUGAGUAAUGCAUAGGAAUCUGCCCGAUAGUGGGGGAUAACCUGGGGAAACCCAGGCUAAUACCGCAUACGUCCUACGGGAGAAAGGGGGCUCCGGCUCCCGCUAUCGGAUGAGCCUAUGUCGGAUUAGCUGGUUGGUGAGGUAAAGGCUCACCAAGGCGACGAUCCGUAGCUGGUCUGAGAGGAUGAUCAGCCACAUCGGGACUGAGACACGGCCCGAACUCCUACGGGAGGCAGCAGUGGGGAAUAUUGGACAAUGGGGGCAACCCUGAUCCAGCCAUGCCGCGUGUGUGAAGAAGGCCCUCGGGUUGUAAAGCACUUUCAGUGAGGAAGAACGCCUGGUGGUUAAUACCCAUCAGGAAAGACAUCACUCACAGAAGAAGCACCGGCUAACUCCGUGCCAGCAGCCGCGGUAAUACGGAGGGUGCGAGCGUUAAUCGGAAUUACUGGGCGUAAAGCGCGCGUAGGUGGCUUGAUAAGCCGGUUGUGAAAGCCCCGGGCUCAACCUGGGAACGGCAUCCGGAACUGUCAAGCUAGAGUGCAGGAGAGGAAGGUAGAAUUCCCGGUGUAGCGGUGAAAUGCGUAGAGAUCGGGAGGAAUACCAGUGGCGAAGGCGGCCUUCUGGACUGACACUGACACUGAGGUGCGAAAGCGUGGGUAGCAAACAGGAUUAGAUACCCUGGUAGUCCACGCCGUAAACGAUGUCGACCAGCCGUUGGGUGCCUAGCGCACUUUGUGGCGAAGUUAACGCGAUAAGUCGACCGCCUGGGGAGUACGGCCGCAAGGUUAAAACUCAAAUGAAUUGACGGGGGCCCGCACAAGCGGUGGAGCAUGUGGUUUAAUUCGAUGCAACGCGAAGAACCUUACCUACUCUUGACAUCCUGCGAAUUUGGUAGAGAUACCUUAGUGCCUUCGGGAACGCAGAGACAGGUGCUGCAUGGCUGUCGUCAGCUCGUGUUGUGAAAUGUUGGGUUAAGUCCCGUAACGAGCGCAACC